CCUACGGGUGGCUGCAGUGAGGAAUAUUGGUCAAUGGACGAGAGUCUGAACCAGCCAAGUAGCGUGAAGGAUGACUGCCCUAUGGGUUGUAAACUUCUUUUAUAUGGGAAUAAAAUGUUCCACGUGUGGGAUUUUGUAUGUACCAUAUGAAUAAGGAUCGGCUAACUCCGCGCCAGCAGCCGCGGUAAUACGGAGGAUCCGAGCGUUAUCCGGAUUUAUUGGGUUUAAAGGGAGCGUAGGUGGAUUGUUAAGUCAGUUGUGAAAGUUUGCGGCUCAACCGGAAAAUUGCAGUUGAAACUGGCAGUCUUGAGUACAGUAGAGGUGAGCGGAAUUCGUGGUGUAGCGGUGAAAUGCUUAGAUAUCACGAAGAACUCCGAUUGCGAAGGCAGUUCACUGGACUGCAACUGACACUGAGGCUCGAAAGUGUGGGUAUCAAACAGGAUUAGAUACCCCUGUAGUC
rnacentral:rRNA from 1 species